rnacentral:rRNA from 1 species
GUACGGGAGGCAGCAGUAGGGAAUAUUGCACAAUGGGCGAAAGCCUGAUGCAGCAACGCCGCGUGCGCGAUGAAGGUCUUCGGAUCGUAAAGCGCUUUUCUGCGAGAUGAGAAAGGACAGUAUCGUAGGAAUAAGUCUCGGCUAACUACGUGCCAGCAGCCGCGGUAACACGUAGGAGGCGAGCGUUAUCCGGAUUCACUGGGCGUAAAGCGCGUGCAGGCGGUUCGGUAAGUUGGGCGUGAAAUCUCCCGGCUCAACUGGGAGAGGUCGUUCAAUACUACCGAACUUGAGAGCGAUAGAGGAAAAUGGAAUUCCAGGUGUAGUGGUGAAAUGCGUAGAUAUCUGGAGGAACACCAGUGGCGAAAGCGAUUUUCUGGAUCGUUUCUGACGCUCAGACGCGAAAGCUAGGGUAGCAAACGGGAUUAGAUACCCCGGU